rnacentral:lncRNA from 1 species
GUUAGCUUUGGGCUCAGACUCUGUUUUUUUCUGAUUUCGGUUGUUGUAAUACAAGAAUUUUUUCAAAAAAACAGACUGCGGUGUGUUUGCUGCGCUUCUGAGCAUCCUGCGGCUCUGCUGGGCCUGCAGGCCGUAAAAUGGUGACGUGAUGCCGCAUUGCGAAAUUGCUUUUACGCACGGCUUUUCAGAGCUGCAACAACACCCAGGUGAUGCUGUUGAUAUUCCCACAUAACCCCAGAACCCCACAUCACGUCCACUUUACUCAGAAAGUGUUUAGCAUUUCACCCUGCUGCAGCAUGUCGACACAAACAAGAACAACAGAGAGACAGAGCAGAGUGUUUCCUGAUCUGAGUGUUUCCUGAAAUAAUGUCUCAGAGUUUGCAGUUUCACUUCAUGUGUGUUUGAUAACAGAGAGUCUUUACAACCUUCGACUAAUCGAGACUUCUCUAACACGGCUGUGAUCGUCUUUGGUGUUCUGCCGCCACCCACAGAGGAGGCUUCAACCUCGGAGCUGCUUUCAGUCACAGACACCUUCAUCCCGGAUCUCCACACUGCGGCGGAGUCCUCCUCACCCUCACCCUCACCCUGACCACACAGACCUGGAUCCUCAGGAGGGAAUUCACCUCCUUCCUCUGAUGGUGGAAUUAUGAAUAAAUAUGAAUGUGAGAUCAUGAGGAGAGUGUUAGCUUUAGCUCUGUCAAAUUCUGCCACCUUGUGUUAUAAAGUUUAGUCUUCUCUGUUUUAGUCGUGGGUCUUUUUUUUAUUUUGUGUAUUUGAAUUAUUUUCCAUCUUGGACCAAUUUUUCACUCAAAAUACAAUCCAAACAUCUGCAGAUGAAUAAAGCUGCUCAGAGGAGUAUUAGAUCUUGAAUAAAACAAACACGGACACAGUUUAAGGAAGAGACAGAAAACUGAUUUUGACUUUUCAUGUCUACAUUUUUUAAGCUGAUGUUUUUAAACAGAAGAAGGAGGAGAAGAAGAAGGAGGAGGAGAGGCAGAAAAUGGCGGCUCAGAGGAAGAGAGAAAGAGAAGGAGCAGCUCCCCUCUCACAGCUCUCCAUGAAGAAAUGCAAUAAAUUCCUUGUUGUUUUAUGAAAAUUUACAACUUUGUGAUACAAGUUUAUGAGUGGCCGCGCGCCGGGAUUGGCCGACGGGCUGGUCAUGUGGACGCGCUUAACGUGAACAUGAACUUUUUAUGAUUUCCCAAGUGGCUAUAUUGCUGCUGCUGCACUCAGCUCCGGCCCGAGCUGCCGCUUCUCCUGCCUCGCGCUCAGCUCAGCUCAGCUCGCUGCCCGGGGGCUCGCGAGGCGCCGCGCGGAGCCCCGGCAACCGCGAGGAAAAUUAGCGCCGCGCUCUAAUUAAACGGACUAGUUAAUGAGAAAACUAGUUGUGAGCGUGGAAGAACCGGCAAGAGGAGAGACAACAACCCGCCCCCUCCCUCCACCACCACCUCCUCCUCCUCCCUCUGCUAUGGCUCCGUGCUCCGUCUGGUCUCGUGCUGCUGUCUGAGCUCAAACGGCGGACCGAGGUGGGGACGGUUCCGCUGAUGAGGAGAGACCGAACCCGGGGAGAGCCUCCUUUACCCGGGCUGACCUCCUGGUUUUAACGCUGAUUAUUUGGGCUCAGCGCGAGGAGGAUGAAGAUGAGGAGGAGGAGGAGGCGGUGAUGAAGAUGACGACGGUGUUUUGACGACCGGGUGACAACGGGAAACGCACCCCUCCUCCUCCUCCUCAUCAUCAUCAUCCUCACCUCCUCGCGCCGACACCCCUCCAUCCAAUUAUCAUCCAUCCAUCCGCUCUGCGCUCGGCAGGGCUGUCUCGUGCCAUUCCAGAGAGCCUGAGCUGCCUGCACGCGGGACACCGAGCUGGUCUGCAGGUGUGCGGGGGCUCGUGACGGAUUAUCAACAAACGGUAAGAGCUUUUCCGUGUCCGCUCCUGCUCCGGCGGGUCUGCUGCUGCUGCUGCUGUUUGGGAGUAAAAGGAGGUCGCGGCGCGGCGCGUCUGCUGCGCCUGACCGCGAGGAGGAGGCUGCUGCUGCUGAGAUACCUGCAGGUUAUAAAUGAGGUGUUAGUUUCCAGCUCGGAUUAGAGAGCACUUCCACGCAGGAUUAGGCUCCGUGAUGAAUUAUCCAGAUGAAGUGGGUCUGGAUUAGCUGCAGAGGAGCCGGAGAUCGGCUCGAGCAGAUCCGGAAGAUUAUCUGACGUUGAGAGGGAGGGGGGCAGAGGUGGACAUGAGAGGGGGGCGCAGGGUUUGGAGUGAGGGCAGGUGUGCUGGAUCAGACCUGUUUCAGAGUUUAAACAUGUUUCAUUAUCCUGCUGCUGCUGCUGUGUUUGUGUCUGUGUGUCUGUGUCUGUGUUUGUUUGUGUCUGUGUGUGUCUGUGUUUGUGUGUCUUUGUUUGUGUGUGUCUGUGUUUGUCUCCUCGGCUGACUGUUUUCUUUCUUUUGUGCUCUCGGGUUUGUCGGUUUUGUUGUUUGAAUUGUUUCACUUCCAGAUCUCAGUAGAACAGCUUCCAGGUUCUUCCAGCUGCCCCAGUGUGUGUGUGUGUUUAUGUGUGUUUGUGUGUUUGUGUGUGUGUGUGUUGGUGCAGGCCUACUACAGACACAGGAAUGUGUUUCUGUCUCGCUCCGUCCUGCCCACUUUUAUGACUUUGUUUCCUCUCUCAUUUCCUCCCUGCGGCGGGGGGAGCUCUCUUUCUUUCUCUCUUUCUUUCUUUUUGUUUUGUUUCUUCAGCUAACUGACCAGGACCCCCCCCCCCCCCCUCAGAACACCCUCUCCCCCCAAAAAACACAUCUGCAGGCCUGUCUGUGUGUCUGUCUGCUCUCCAAUUUGUUGCCCUCUCAAAUAUCAAACAGCUACAGAGGGAAUCCCUCCAUCCCUCAAAAACACUCAGACUGACUCACACUCAUUUUUCCUGACCUCUGUUCUUCACCAGGAUCAGCUCCUCUCUGUUUCACUGAUGUGAGUUUGUGAUGAUUGCAGCCGUAUUUAGAAACACACAUCUACACAUGUAUUCAUGCUAAAGCAGCUGAAAGAAAACGAGCUCUGCAACAGAAACACUUAUUCUACUUCCAUCGUCCUUCUCUGUCACAGAAAUAGGAUGACUGACUUGAUAUUAAGAUCAUUUGCAGCUGCUUCUGUCUUAGCUAAAACGCAGAAGUUCAGCUGUAACGUGAUAUUCACAUAAAUAAGUUAUUUCAACGUUUCUAAAUUCUUUCAAAUGUGAAAAACGGAUAUUUUUUUUACGAGGUUACCGUUUGGCAAAGUUUUACAUAUGAACUGCUCCAAACUAACCUCUGUUGGUUUAAUUAAUCAAGCUCUAAAUAUCAGUGAAUCCUGAGUAAAAAAAAAGAGCUAGUUUAGGUCCAGUUUGUGUCUCUGAAAGAGAAGCAAAUAUUUAUUUUUACGAGGCGUAAAUAAUCUGAGUUUGUCUGCAGACCGCUGUGCGUAAAAUGUCUCUGCACACCAGAAAUGUUCUUGUAGGACCUACAACCAGCCCCGUUUGACUUUUAAUCAGUCAGAAUAUUUACCCCUUAUUUUUUUUUAAAAACAAACAAUAGUGACUAAAAAUAUAUACAAAUAUAAAGAUGUGGCAAAAUAAAAUCUAAUUCAUGAGAAAAAAAACAAGUCUGUUGUGGUCUGUCGUGACUCUGGGACGUUUGUGGAGCAAUAACAACAUUAAAAAAAUAUAAAAAAUAAAAGGGCGUUUAAUCGGCUGAAUAUCUAUUUCUGUGAUAGAAAUAGAUUCUACCACGAAACGGUUUUUUAUGUGAGUUAAAGUACAAAGAAGGACGUUAACGUUAGACUCAGAUUCAGAGAGAUUUCAGUGUCCAGCAGCUGAAGGUUGAAAAGGUUCAGAGAUGAUUUUCCUUCUUCAGAUUCAGUUUCUGCUCCAAAC